GAACGCUGGCGGCGUGCUUAACACAUGCAAGUCGAACGAUGAACCACUUCGGUGGGGAUUAGUGGCGAACGGGUGAGUAACACGUGGGCAAUCUGCCCUGCACUCUGGGACAAGCCCUGGAAACGGGGUCUAAUACCGGAUACGAGCCUCACGGGCAUCCGUGAGGCUGGAAAGCUCCGGCGGUGCAGGAUGAGCCCGCGGCCUAUCAGCUUGUUGGUGAGGUAACGGCUCACCAAGGCGACGACGGGUAGCCGGCCUGAGAGGGCGACCGGCCACACUGGGACUGAGACACGGCCCAGACUCCUACGGGAGGCAGCAGUGGGGAAUAUUGCACAAUGGGCGAAAGCCUGAUGCAGCGACGCCGCGUGAGGGAUGACGGCCUUCGGGUUGUAAACCUCUUUCAGCAGGGAAGAAGCGCAAGUGACGGUACCUGCAGAAGAAGCGCCGGCUAACUACGUGCCAGCAGCCGCGGUAAUACGUAGGGCGCAAGCGUUGUCCGGAAUUAUUGGGCGUAAAGAGCUCGUAGGCGG
rnacentral:rRNA from 1 species